rnacentral:rRNA from 1 species
CCGGUAAGGUGAUAUGAACCGUUAUAACCGGCGAUACCCGAAUGGGGAAACCCAGUGUGAUUCGUCACACUAUCAUUAACUGAAUCCAUAGGUUAAUGAGGCGAACCGGGGGAACUGAAACAUCUAAGUACCCCGAGGAAAAGAAAUCAACCGAGAUUCCCCCAGUAGCGGCGAGCGAACGGGGAGGAGCCCAGAGCCUGAAUCAGCAUGUGUGUUAGUGGAAGCGUCUGGAAAGGCGCGCGAUACAGGGUGACAGCCCCGUACACAAAAGCGCAUGUGCUGUGAGCUCGAUGAGUAGGGCGGGACACGUGGUAUCCUGUCUGAAUAUGGGGGGACCAUCCUCCAAGGCUAAAUACUCCUGACUGACCGAUAGUGAACCAGUACCGUGAGGGAAAGGCGAAAAGAACCCCGGCGAGGGGAGUGAAAAAGAACCUGAAACCGUGUACGUACAAGCAGUGGGAGCACAGGUUUACCUGUGUGACUGCGUA